rnacentral:lncRNA from 1 species
UAGGAAAGGGAGAGAAAGAGAGAAAAAGAGACAGAAUAUCAAGAAGCCGUCACUUGCCCAGGCAUUCCAAAUCAUGUCAGUCCACACUCCAGUGUGAAACACCUGGAGGCUGGAGUCCCUGGCUUACCUGUUGUUGUCCCUGGCUUACCUGGAGUCCCUGGCUCCGGGCUUCCCUCCGCGUGCUGCUGCUCCUCCAGGUCCCCCCCGGUGGCUCUCGCGCGCCCCCAGGCGGCCACGUCGCGGAGCAGCUCCGUCACGUUGUGUUGAGUGAUCUCCCCGGCCGUCUAACAGUAGAAGGGGCGUGGCCAGACGUCGGGGCCAGGAUGGCGGGGCGGGGCUUAGAACGCUGGGAGUCCUCGGUCCAGGACUAGAACUCCCGCAGCUGCUUGGAGGAUGUGAAGUGGGGCGGGACCUAUCCCGCGGGGAUGGGGCCUGUUCUCUGAAUGGAGUCGUUCCCACCAAGCGACGGGCGGGGUCUGGAGCUGGGGGCGGGGCCUGCUGUGGGGGCGGGGCCUUGCGCACCCACCGACCCCCAGCCCCACCUCUACCCCCAGUCCCAGCCUCGCCGCGCACCUUGACUGGCUGGCCGUUGCUCGUCCGCAGGAGGCUCUCGUCGUCCGCUUCGAUGCCGAAGGCCACGAAGGGCCCCGUGGCGAUGUCCCCCCAGUACCCGCGCGCUGCCACGCGCUCCCCACGCUGGAAAAGGAGGGAGAGAGGAGGCAGGUAAUCUAGAGAUGAUUUGCGGUGUAUGGGACCAUGUGUACAGGCUAUUUGACUCGGGAAUCUGGGCUCUCAUCUUCAUCCCAGCUCACGUUGAACCUCCUGCGAGGCCAGAACUUCGCUCGGGACAGGGUCCGCAGCAGGUGCCGUCCAUCCACAGAGCCCAGAAGCAGCACAUCUAGCUCGGGGUUGCUGUGCACUGUAUCGGCCUGGGAGUCUGGGUCCACAGGAGGACCUGGCAAGAUGACAGCUGGCUGGGGCACCAUGGUGGUUGGCAGAGCGUCCACCGUAGCAUCCCCUAUAAAAAAUGGACUACAAAUCCCAGUAGGCGUUCCGCCCGUGGCCUAGGUUCUAAGGGGAGGUGUUUCCUCUGAGUAUUCUGGGAUUCGCAGUCCGCAGACAGGACCUCGGGGCUGCCCCUGGGAGCGCGCCCUCUGCCGCUGGAGCGUUGGAGAACGUUAGCGCCCCCCUUGCCACCGACGCUGGGACUACGAGCUCUAAAAGGCCGUCUGCUCAGGCUGGGAAGGCAGACGGUGUAUCAGACCUUGCGUGCUGGGACUCACUUUCAGCCUGCAGGUCCAGCGCCGGGGACAGGCCCCACCAGGACACGGAGCCGAAGCCGCUGCCGGAGCCGGCAGGUGUGGUCAUCACCCUGCGGAAAAGACAUUCUGGGAAUCGCACACAUUGCCCGCCCCGCUCCCCUCUCACCGCCCCUCACUUCUCGCCCCUUUGCCUCCACAUGAUACCUUGCCCACACCUUUAUCCUCCAAAUAUCCCGGGACGCCCCUUCCUCUCUGCUCAGUGCAGCACUGUGGACCCGCGGCACUCCACAACCGCUGCCCAGAGUCCCCGCCCUUUUCGAGGAAUCAAGCAAUGGAAGCAUGUGGGAUGGGACCACAGCGAGCAACUGACCAAUGAGAGUGAGCGAGGCCCGCCCUCUACAAACUUUUGGCCAAUGGGAGCACUGAGGGCCAGCCUUCCCCCACACCUAGGAGAAGAGGGCGUGUGGACGCGGUUGUCAUGACGACGGCGCCGGCGGGGGAAGGGGCGGUGCUAGAACAGGUUGGGGCGGAGUCAGGGUCGGUCCAAAUUUCUG